rnacentral:rRNA from 1 species
CGUAGCGAAAGUUACGCUAAUACCGCAUACGAUCUACGGAUGAAAGCGGGGGGUCGCAAGACCUCGCGCGAUUGGAGCGGCCGAUAUCAGAUUAGGUAGUUGGUGGGGUAAAGGCUCACCAAGCCAACGAUCUGUAGCUGGUCUGAGAGGACGACCAGCCACACUGGAACUGAGACACGGUCCAGACUCCUACGGGAGGCAGCAGUGGGGAAUUUUGGACAAUGGACGCAAGUCUGAUCCAGCCAUUCCGCGUGCAGGAUGAAGGCCCUCGGGUUGUAAACUGCUUUUGUACAGAACGAAAAGGUUUCCAUUAAUACUGGGAGCUCAUGACGGUACUGUAAGAAUAAGCACCGGCUAACUACGUGCCAGCAGCCGCGGUAAUACGUAGGGUGCAAGCGUUAAUCGGAAUUACUGGGCGUAAAGCGUGCGCAGGCGGUUAUGUAAGACAGAUGUGAAAUCCCCGGGCUCAACCUGGGAACUGCAUUUGUGACUGUAUAGCUAGAGUACGGUAGAGGGGGAUGGAAUUCCGCGUGUAGCAGUGAAAUGCGUAGAUAUGCGGAGGAACACCGAUGGCGAAGGCAAUCCCCUGGGCCUGCACUGACGCUCAUGCACGAAAGCGUGGGGAGCAAACAGGAUUAGAUACCCUGGUAGUCCACGCCCUAAACGACGUCAACUGGUUGUUGGGUCUUCACUGACUCAGUAACGAAG